rnacentral:lncRNA from 1 species
GAGGGAGACUCCCCCAGCUGGGGGAUCAGAAAAGGCUUCCUAGGGAGGGUCUACUUGACAGGUCCACCCACAGGGCUUUAAACAACCAGAAAGACAGAGCUUGGUAGAGAUCACAGAGGGAAUGACAAGAAAAAGGUGGAGAAACAUGUGGAGUGAACAAAGCACACUAAAGACCGCAGCCUGUCCUGAAAACUGGGGGCAUGAAGCGGUAUAGUAAAAGUUUUAUCUUCUGAACAAAUAACCAGCCUUCUCCAAAGAGAAACUUAAGUCCCUAGGGAAUAUAGAAAACAGCAACUUGGAAACAGCAAUUUUUCCGUCUUCUGACCAUCAAGUCCUAGUCUCAGCUCUUUACAGAAAUUUUCAGAUGCAUUCUUUCUCACUUACUAUCUGCAGAGCUCUAACUACCUUCAAAAGUGCAACAAAAGCAGAAAUGAAAAGAGGUAAUAUGUCUAUCUGGAUCCUCUUCGUGCCAUCAGCAUCUCGCAUAUUGAAGACGUUCAAGAAAUGUGGGGUGGAUGGAUGGGCAAA